rnacentral:rRNA from 1 species
GAACGCUGGCGGUAGGCCUAACACAUGCAAGUCGAGCGGCAGCGGAAAGUAGCUUGCUACUUUGCCGGCGAGCGGCGGACGGGUGAGUAAUGUCUGGGAAACUGCCUGAUGGAGGGGGAUAACUACUGGAAACGGUAGCUAAUACCGCAUAACGUCGCAAGACCAAAGAGGGGGACCUUCGGGCCUCUUGCCAUCAGAUGUGCCCAGAUGGGAUUAGCUAGUAGGUGGGGUAACGGCUCACCUAGGCGACGAUCCCUAGCUGGUCUGAGAGGAUGACCAGCCACACUGGAACUGAGACACGGUCCAGACUCCUACGGGAGGCAGCAGUGGGGAAUAUUGCACAAUGGGCGCAAGCCUGAUGCAGCCAUGCCGCGUGUAUGAAGAAGGCCUUCGGGUUGUAAAGUACUUUCAGCGGGGAGGAAGGCGAUAAGGUUAAUAACCUUGUCGAUUGACGUUACCCGCAGAAGAAGCACCGGCUAACUCCGUGCCAGCAGCCGCGGUAAUACGGAGGGUGCAAGCGUUAAUCGGAAUUACUGGGCGUAAAGCGCACGCAGGCGGUCUGUCAAGUCGGAUGUGAAAUCCCCGGGCUCAACCUGGGAACUGCAUUCGAAACUGGCAGGCUAGAGUCUUGUAGAGGGGGGUAGAAUUCCAGGUGUAGCGGUGAAAUGCGUAGAGAUCUGGAGGAAUACCGGUGGCGAAGGCGGCCCCCUGGACAAAGACUGACGCUCAGGUGUGAAAGCGUGGGGAGCAGACAGGAUUAGAUACCCUGGUAGUCCACGCCGUAAACGAUGUCGACUUGGAGGUUGUGCCCUUGAGGCGUGGCUUCCGGAGCUAACGCGUUAAGUCGACCGCCUGGGGAGUACGGCCGCAAGGUUAAAACUCAAAUGAAUUGACGGGGGCCCGCACAAGCGGUGGAGCAUGUGGUUUAAUUCGAUGCAACGCGAAGAACCUUACCUACUCUUGACAUCCAGAGAACUUUCCAGAGAUGGAUUGGUGCCUUCGGGAACUCUGAGACAGGUGCUGCAUGGCUGUCGUCAGCUCGUGUUGUGAAAUGUUGGGUUAAGUCCCGCAACGAGCGCAACCCUUAUCCUUUGUUGCCAGCGGUCCGGCCGGGAACUCAAAGGAGACUGCCAGUGAUAAACUGGAGGAAGGUGGGGAUGACGUCAAGUCAUCAUGGCCCUUACGAGUAGGGCUACACACGUGCUACAAUGGCGCAUACAAAGAGAAGCGACCUCGCGAGAGCAAGCGGACCUCAUAAAGUGCGUCGUAGUCCGGAUUGGAGUCUGCAACUCGACUCCAUGAAGUCGGAAUCGCUAGU